rnacentral:rRNA from 1 species
GAUGAACGCUAGCUACAGGCUUAACACAUGCAAGUCGAGGGGAAACGACAUCGAAAGCUUGCUUUUGAUGGGCGUCGACCGGCGCACGGGUGAGUAACGCGUAUCCAACCUGCCCAUCACUUGGGAAUAACCUUGCGAAAGUAAGACUAAUACCCAAUGACAUCCCACGAAGACAUCUGAAUGGGAUUAAAGAUUUAUCGGUGAUGGAUGGGGAUGCGUCUGAUUAGCUUGUUGGCGGGGUAACGGCCCACCAAGGCGACGAUCAGUAGGGGUUCUGAGAGGAAGGUCCCCCACAUUGGAACUGAGACACGGUCCAAACUCCUACGGGAGGCAGCAGUGAGGAAUAUUGGUCAAUGGGCGAGAGCCUGAACCAGCCAAGUAGCGUGCAGGAUGACGGCCCUAUGGGUUGUAAACUGCUUUUAUAAGGGAAUAAAGUGGGUCUCGUGAGACUUUUUGCAUGUACCUUAUGAAUAAGGACCGGCUAAUUCCGUG